rnacentral:lncRNA from 1 species
UCCAGCCCCGAGAACUUUGUUCUUUUUGUCCCGCCCCCUGCGCCCAACCGCCUGCGCCGCCUUCCGGCCCGAGUUCUGGAGACUCAACAUGAAGCUACCGGCCAGGGUUUUCUUUACUCUGGGGUCCCGGCUGCCCUGUGGCCUCGCUCCUCGGAGGGAAGAUGGAUGUUUUGAAAGCUACCGCAGAACAAAUUUCUUCUCAAACUGGAAAUAAGGUUCAUGCAAUUCAGUGUGAUGUGAGGGAUCCUGAUAUGGUUCAAAACACUGUGUCAGAACUGAUCAAAGUUGCAGGACAUCCUAAUAUUGUGAUAAACAAUGCAGCAGGGAAUUUUAUUUCUCCUACUGAAAGACUUUCUCCUAAUGCUUGGAAAACCAUAACUGACAUAGUUCUAAAUGGCACAGCCUUCGUGACACUAGAAAUUGGAAAACAACUAAUUAAAGCACAGAAAGGUCUCUUGCAGCUGAAUGGGGUAAAUAUGGAAUGCGAUUCAAUGUGAUUCAACCAGGGCCUAUAAAAACCAAAGGUGCCUUUAGCCGUCUGGACCCAACUGGAACAUUUGAGAAAGAAAUGAUUGGCAGAAUUCCCUGUGGUCGCCUGGGGACUGUAGAAGAACUCGCAAAUCUUGCUGCUUUCCUUUGUAGUGAUUAUGCUUCUUGGAUUAAUGGAGCAGUCAUUAAAUUUGACGGUGGAGAGGAAGUACUUAUUUCAGGGGAAUUCAACGACCUGAGAAAGGUCACCAAGGAGCAGUGGGACACCAUAGAAGAACUCAUCAGGAAGACAAAAGGUUCCUAAGACCACUUUGGCCUUCAUCUUGG